rnacentral:rRNA from 1 species
GACGAGGGGUCCUAGCGUUGUUCGGAAUCAUUGGGCGUAAAGAGUAUGUAGGCGGCUUUUCAAGUCAGAUGUGAAAGCCCACGGCUUAACCGUGGAAAUGCAUUUGAAACUGCUAAGCUUGAGUGCGAAAGAGGAUGGUAGAAUUCCAGGUGUAGUGGUGAAAUACGUAGAUAUCUGGAGGAAUACCGGAGGCGAAGGCGGCCAUCUGGUUCGCUACUGACGCUGAGAUACGAAAGCGUGGGGAUCAAACAGG